AGCGAACGCUGGCGGCAUGCCUAACACAUGCAAGUCGCACGGGGGGGCUUCGGCCUCCCAGUGGCGGACGGGUGAGGAACGCGUAGGGACCUGUCGAGGGGUGGGGGAUAACCGCGGGAAACUGCGGCUAAUACCGCAUGACGCCGCGGCGUGACAGCCGGGGCCAAAGGCGAAAGCCGCCCGCCGAGGGGCCUGCGUCCGAUUAGCUGGUUGGCGGGGUAGCGGCCCACCAAGGCGUCGAUCGGUAGCUGGUCUGAGAGGGUGAUCAGCCACACCGGGACUGAGACACGGCCCGGACUCCUACGGGAGGCAGCAGUGGGGAAUAUUGGACAAUGGGCGCUAGCCUGAUCCAGCAAUGCCGCGUGGGUGAAGAAGGUCUUCGGAUUGUAAAGCCCUUUCGGCGGGGACGAUGGUGACGGUACCCGCAGAAGAAGCCCCGGCUAACUUCGUG
rnacentral:rRNA from 1 species